GACGAACGCUGGCGGCGUGCCUAAUACAUGCAAGUAGAACGCUGAAGGAGGAGCUUGCUUCUCUGGAUGAGUUGCGAACGGGUGAGUAACGCGUAGGUAACCUGCCUGGUAGCGGGGGAUAACUAUUGGAAACGAUAGCUAAUACCGCAUAAGAGUAGAUGUUGCAUGACAUUUACUUAAAAGGUGCAAUUGCAUCACUACCAGAUGGACCUGCGUUGUAUUAGCUAGUUGGUGAGGUAACGGCUCACCAAGGCAACGAUACAUAGCCGACCUGAGAGGGUGAUCGGCCACACUGGGACUGAGACACGACCCAGACUCCUACGGGAGGCAGCAGUAGGGAAUCUUCGGCAAUGGACGGAAGUCUGACCGAGCAACGCCGCGUGAGUGAAGAAGGUUUUCGGAUCGUAAAGCUCUGUUGUAAGAGAAGAACGAGUGUGAGAGUGGAAAGUUCACACUGUGACGGUAUCUUACCAGAAAGGGACGGCUAACUACGUG
rnacentral:rRNA from 1 species